CGCCUCUUGCAAAAUUAACGAAUAAGAGGUCCUGCCUGCCCUGUGACCAUGAGUUCAACGGCCGCGGUAUUUUGACCGUGCAAAGGUAGCGCAAUCACUUGUCUUUUAAAUGAAGACCCGUAUGAAUGGCAAGACGAGGGCUUAGCUGUCUCCUUUUUCAAGUCAAUGAAAUUGAUCUUCCCGUGCAGAAGCGGGAAUUCCGACAUAAGACGAGAAGACCCUAUGGAGCUUUAGACACCAAGACAGACCACGUCAAAACUCCCUAAUAAAGGGCCGAACUAAAUGGACCCUGUCCUAAUGUCUUUGGUUGGGGCGACCACGGGGAAAUACAAAACCCCCGCGUGGAAUGGGAGCACCCUUGCUCCUACAACUGAGAGCUUCCGCUCUAAUAAACAGAAUUUCUGACCAACAAGAUCCGGCAACGCCGAUCAACGAACCGAGUUACCCUAGGGAUAACAGCGCAAUCCUCUUUUAGAGCCCAUAUCGACAAGGGGGUUUACGACCUCGAUGUUGGAUCAGGACAUCCUAAUGGUGCAGCCGCUAUUAAGGGUUCGUUUGUUCAACGAUUAAAGUCCU
rnacentral:rRNA from 1 species